AAAUUGAAGAGUUUGAUCAUGGCUCAGAUUGAACGCUGGCGGCAGGCCUAACACAUGCAAGUCGAACGGUAACAGGAAGCAGCUUGCUGCUUCGCUGACGAGUGGCGGACGGGUGAGUAAUGUCUGGGAAACUGCCUGAUGGAGGGGGAUAACUACUGGAAACGGUAGCUAAUACCGCAUAACGUCGCAAGACCAAAGAGGGGGACCUUCGGGCCUCUUGCCAUCGGAUGUGCCCAGAUGGGAUUAGCUUGUUGGUGGGGUAACGGCUCACCAAGGCGACGAUCCCUAGCUGGUCUGAGAGGAUGACCAGCCACACUGGAACUGAGACACGGUCCAGACUCCUACGGGAGGCAGCAGUGGGGAAUAUUGCACAAUGGGCGCAAGCCUGAUGCAGCCAUG
rnacentral:rRNA from 1 species